CCUUGCCACACCAGACUGGCUAGCUACUAGCCGGAUAGCAACUAGCUUCACCACACACUCACUCAUAGCGCGUCAGCGCCGCGCUCACAAAGUGUCAGGCCACUACCAAAAGUGUAUCUAUGUCAAUGGAGGAAUAAGUGAAAAGAUCAAAUCAAUGGUCACUUCACAAAGGUCCAAAGGUGCUGAGCUGGACUUUUGGAGCGGCCUGCAAAGGCAGCAGUUUGUCCCAUGUGUCUUGGGAAAACGAAGGCGAGGGAAGCAAAGCCAAAAUUUCCGGUGGGCUAAUGACCUCUUCUGUGGUGAGAAGCAGCCUGCGUAGUCAGUGGAGAGGUGGAGAAGGAGGGUGUUGAACAGGGGUGCUAGGGAGGGGAAUGAUGG